rnacentral:rRNA from 1 species
AACGAACGCUGGCGGCAGGCCUAACACAUGCAAGUCGAGCGCCCCGCCAGGGGAGCGGCGGCCGGGUGAGUAACGCGUGGGAAUAUGCCCUUUGCUACGGAAUAGUCUCGGGAAACUGGGGGUAAUACUGUAUACGCCCUUUGGGGGAAAGAUUUAUCGGCGAAGGAUUAGCCCGCGUUGGAUUAGGUAGUUGGUGGGGUAAUGGCCUACCAAGCCGACGAUCCAUAGCUGGUUUGAGAGGAUGAUCAGCCACACUGGGACUGAGACACGGCCCAGACUCCUACGGGAGGCAGCAGUGGGGAAUCUUAGACAAUGGGGGCAGCCCUGAUCUAGCCAUGCCGCGUGAGUGAUGAAGGCCUUAGGGUUGUAAAGCUCUUUCAGCUGGGAAGAUAAUGACGGUACCAGCAGAAGAAGCCCCGGCUAACUCCGUG